GGCCUUGUACUAUGAUUUUUCUUAGGUACAUAUUGGUAGUAAAGGCAAGGUCCACUCAUAAAAUGGCUCUCUUCAAGGAAAGCAGACUUUUUAGGGGAAGGAGUUAGAAAAUAAAGUGUAUGAAUAUGCGUGUCAAGACAAGUGAGAUAGUAUAGACAUUCAUGAAGACACCAGUUUUAUAGCAGGACAGGACAGAGCUCCAGGGAGUAAAAAUCAGAUUAGGUUGAACUGCAGAGCUAUUUGUAUAUAUGUGAAUCAUCUGACUGAUGAGCUUGAGAUUCUUUUCCUUUCCAGUAAUUUGCUUUGGUAGAAGUAAUGUUUUUCCCAAUGGGCCCUGCCACUAUUGACUGAUCUAAUUACAGACAGCAGCUUCCCAUUUCCUUUGACACAGCCAAGCAAAUAGAAUAAGAUUAGCACACAGAGAUGGGUGAAUAGUUUGGUGUGUGAAUUUACUUCUGCUGAUACAUUUGGGAGAGGGCUAAUAAAAUUGCUUCUACUCUCUAGUUCUUUUUUGUUUCCCAUCUACUACGUCCUUGUAUCAUAAGGAUUUGUAGGUUCAAGUGAAAAACAUUCAGUGUAUCUGUCAUAUUUAUGUUGUUCACUCUGCCAUUCUGAAAUCACUGGAGAGAAAUUGGCUUUUCACUUGUAGAUUGUCUUUUUUGUCCAAAAUGAUAAUUUUCUCACGAGUAAUAAAGUAUCUGUUAGAGUAGCGUGCUUCUCAAACUUUAAUGUGCGUACGUACACCCGUGGGUCUUGUUUAAGUGCAGUUCUAUAGAUUUAGGUCGGGCUAUGUUUUCUGCAUUUCUGACAAACUCCCAUGUGAUAGUGAUGCUGCUGGUCCAGGACCAUGUGUCGAAUAGCAAGACAUUAGAAUGCUGUAUUGGUAAAAGUAAAUAAGUAAACUUUCUCUCUCCAGUCAGAUCAAGGCAGUGCAGGAAAUACCAGUCUUUAGUUGGGAACAGUGAUGUUCUGCCACUGGGUUAAGUUUAUAACUAUUCCCUAUAGAUUACAAGUUUCUCUGUCCUUUGUCGUGGACAUCGACUGUUGCCUUCCUCGUUUAGUCCUCAGACUAACUGGAGGAAUGGAAGAGGAAGGUCUUAGUAGCCGCUUCUUGCAGCCGACCAGUUUGUCACGGGUGUAGCGUCACACAGGCGCACACACCCGCAUUUCCUGGCUGCUGUCUGGGGAAAUGUAGUUCUAUGCCAGGUCUUUACUCCCAGAUCAUCUGAGUAGUCUUAAGGUACCGUUUAACAAAUACGCGCGCUAGACUCUGGAGCCGUCUGAGAAUAUGAGCGGGGUUUGUGCUGCUUCACCCCUUGCUCUGUGUGUACAGCUUUCCAUUGGCGGCAUCAUCAUCCUGAAGGACACCAGUGAAGACACAGAGGAACUGGUUGAACCGGUGGCAGCCCAUGGCCCAAAAAUCGAGGAAGAAGAACAAGAGCCAGAACCUCCAGAACCAUUUGAGUAUAUCGAUGAUUAAGGACCAGAGGAUCUCAUUGCUCAUCUGAAGAUGGUUGUCCAGGCCUGUAUUGGAGAUGUUUGUGAAGAAAUCCAUGCUGAGACCUGCUACUCACUGCAUGUACCAUUGCCUUUGCGCUGACCCGAAGAACCUUGUCUCCAAGUCUUUGGUGAAGAGAAGAUAUAUGACUGUUUAGUGUGCUCUUUCACAGAACUUGGUUUUCAAAUAAAUAUAUUAAAAUCUC